rnacentral:tRNA from 1 species
UCCCUGAUGGUCUAGUGGUCAGGAUUCGGCGCUCUCAUCGCCGCGCCCUGGGUUCGAUUCCCAGUCAGGGAA